ensembl:lncRNA
CAACCAUUUUGCUAAAUUCCUAUUUGUUUUGUCAGUAACCUUAAAAAUGGUGAUUAGUUUCUUCAAACUACUGGAUUUGUUUCAUCUUUUGUCUUCUCCAGAUGUUAACUGAUGNUACAUUUCUACAAACCUGAUGAAGAAACAAACUCAUCUUCAUCAUGGAUGACCAUGAGCACAUUAUCAGCAAUGUUCAAUUAUGGGUGAACUAUUCCUUUAAAGGUGCUCAAAAAGUAGUAGAAAAUUUGACAAUUUUCUCUUUUUUGACAAAUCUCUUGAUAUUUGUCCCCCUCUUAAAUGAAGUAAUUGAAAUGCUUCUGUGGAUUUUUUUUUCUUCUUCUUUCUUUCUCUGUUGGAUCAAAUGGGAAUAAUAAAAAAUGUCAUAGUUUUUAUUCACCACUGGGUGAACAGAAGUUUACCCAUCUAUUACUUCUACUUCUGUGAACCCUGGAAAUGUGAAAAGAGUUCAUUUGGAAGAGUUUGUAAUGCAUGUUUUUUAAACAGUGAAAGAGAAGCUAAAAACAGCUCAUAUUUGUGCGCACAUCUGCAGGAUCUCAUCGAAAUUCGCUUUAAAUCUUAAAAUGCUUCUGUGAAGUUUCGAGUGCAUUCAAAUUGAGUUUCCAGGUCUAUUUUGUAGAUCCACUGAAGAGGAAUAAAACAAAUGUUUCUGUGGCGAACUCAGAGCAGGAAUUCAUGAACACCACAGUUGAGGAGUUAAAAAGAAAACUCUUUCCUGAAGACGAUUAUGAAGGCUGUGUGCUUCGGUGCAUUAACAUUACUCUGUUUCACGAUGAUCGAACACUUGGCUCUUAUGGCAUUAAACACAAUGAUGUUAUUGAGGGUUUAUGGCACCACUAUUACAUGAAGAAUCUCUCUCGGAGCUACAUUCAUGUGACGGUGAAUAUACAGGUGAAUUCUUCUAACUCUUGAGAUCAGCUGAAGUAUAAUAUCAAUCUAAUUUACUUCAUUCACUGUCAAACUCUGCAUGUCAAAUAGUGUAGACAUAUGCUUGAGUACUUGAUUUGUAUUAAACCCAGG